GAUGAACGCUGGCGGCGUGCCUAAUACAUGCAAGUCGAACGAAACUUCUUUAUCACCGAGUCCUUGCACUUACCGAUAAAGAGUUGAGUGGCGAACGGAUCAGUAACACGUGGGCAACCUGCCCAAACGAGGGGGAUAACACUUUGAAACAUGUUCUAAUACCCCAUAACCAUAGUUACCGCAUGGUAACUAUGUAAAAGGUUGCUAUACUACCGCUUUUGGAUGGGCCCGCGGCGCAUUAGCUAGUUGGUAGGGUAAAGGCUUACCAAGGCAAUGAUGCGUAGCCGAAUUGAGAGGUUGAUCGGCCACAUUGGAACUGAGACACGGCCCAAACUCCUACGGGAGGCAGCAGUAGGGAAUCUUCCACAAUGGGCGAAAGCCUGAUGGAGCAACGCCGCGUGGGUGAAGAAGGUCUUCGGAUCGUAAAACCCUGUUGUUAGGGAAGAAAGUGCGUGAGAGUAACUGUUCACGUUUCGACGGUAUCUAAACAGAAAGCCACGGCUAACUACGUG
rnacentral:rRNA from 1 species